rnacentral:rRNA from 1 species
GACGAACGCUGGCGGCGUGCUUAACACAUGCAAGUCGAACGGAAAGGCCCCUUUGGGGGUACUCGAGUGGCGAACGGGUGAGUAACACGUGAGUAACCUGCCCUUGACUUCGGGAUAACUUCAGGAAACUGGGGCUAAUACCGGAUAGGAAUCCUUGCUGCAUGGGGGGGGUUGGAAAGCUUCGGCGGUUUUGGGUGGACUCGCGGCGUAUCAGCUUGUUGGUUGGGUAGUGGCUUACCGAGGCUUUGACGGGUAGCCGGCCUGAGAGGGCGACCGGCCACAUUGGGACUGAGAUACGGCCCAGACUCCUAAGGGAGGAAGCAGUGGGGAAUAUUGCACAAUGGGCGGAGGCCUGAUGCAGCAACGCCGCGUGCGGGAUGACGGCCUUCGGGUUGUAAACCGCUUUCAGCAGGGGCGAAGCUUGUGGUGACGGUACCUGCAGAAGAAGCACCGGCUAACUACGUG